GUCUUCAGCCAUACCACCCUGAAUGCACCUGAUCUUGUCUGAUCUCAGAAGCUAAGCAGGGUUUGGCUUGGUUAGUAGUUGGGUGAGAGACUGUCUCUAAAACAACACACCUACAACU
ensembl:rRNA 5S_rRNA 5S ribosomal RNA